rnacentral:lncRNA from 1 species
AUCGAGAGGACGUGCCCAGAGGUGGACCUUCGAGCUGGCCCCAGGCAAUCGGAGGAUCUUCACUUCCUCCCCUGUCCUUGGAAUGUGUGUUCUGCCCACUGUUCCCACGGUGGCAGCUGCUUCAAGGACGCAGCCUUGAGAGAGUAAGUGUUGUUGAGAACAUCUGGAUGGAACACGUGACUGAGCCCCGUUAAGGCGUCUGUAUCAACUUGUAAGAUUCUAGUGGGCUGGCGUGGAGAUCCACUCGCCUUGCAGCGCCCAAGACAAGCCUGAACAUAAGCUCGGCAAGGCAGAGACUUGGUUGAAGUGGUCUACCCACGUCUUCUGAGCUAGAGCUGAGCCCGACACAGGUCUCACAGGCAAGGUUGCUCUCGCCUCCCCCAUGGGAGGAAGCUGGCUGUCAGUCAUCUUCCAAGGUAUGCCACACCUGAGGAUCAUCCAGCAAGAAGAGGUCACCCCAUCAGAAGGGUGGACCCCAGGAGCCAGGACUUGGGGACAAAUGAAUUGAGAAAGUUUAUUUAAUGAAGCAAUCGUGAGAAGAAAAGUUUCCAAUUACACUCCAUUCCCACUUUCAAUCCCAGGGUCCUCUAAAGUGAUGAAACAUAUCAGUGGAGCUGCCGUCCCUUGUGUAUAUGUCUUCUUCUUAUUUUCUUCCUCUUGUUCAAAAA